ensembl:lncRNA
AGGUAGUCUAGUGGUUAGAGGAGGCAGGUAGUCUAGUGGUUAGAGGGGGGUGACAGGUAGUCUAGUGGUUAGAGGGGGGUGACAGGUAGCCUAGUGGUUAGAGGGGGGUGACAGGUAGCCUAGUGGUUAGAGCGUUGGACUAGUAACCGAAAGGUUUCUAGUUCAAAUCCCCGAGCUGACGAGGUAAAAUCUGUCGUUCUUCCCCUGAACAAGGCAGUUAACCCACUGUUCCUAGACCAGUUAACCCACUGUUCCUAGACCAGUUAACCCACUGUUCCUAG